rnacentral:rRNA from 1 species
CAUGCAGUCGAACGGGGUCGCUCCUUCGGGGGCUAAACCCAGUGGCAGACGGCUGAGUAACGCGUGGGCGACCUGCCCCCGAGAACGGGAUAACUGCGGGAAACUGCAGCUAAUACCGUAUACACUCCCGUGCUUCAAUGUGCGGGAAGAAAGAUUUAUCGCUCGGGGAUGGGCCCGCGUCCUAUCAGGUAGUUGGUGCGGUAACGGCGCACCAAGCCGAAAACGGGUAUCUGGUGUGAGAGCAUGACCAGACAGAGGGGGACUGAAACACGGCCCCCACUCCUCCGGGAGGCAGCAGCAAGGGAUCGUGCACAAUGGGCGAAAGCCUGAUGCCGCGACGCCGCGUGAGGGAUGACGGCUUUCGAGUUGUAAACCUCUUUUCUCAGGGAAGAGAGAGGACGUAACCUGAGGAAUAAGUCACGGCUAACUACGUGCCAGCAGCCGCGGUAAUACGUAGGUGGCAAGCGUUGUCCGGAAUUACUGGGCGUAAAGGGUCCGUAGGCGGUUCGGUCAGUCUUCUGUGAAAGCUCCAGGCCCAACUUGGAGUUGUCGGGAGAAACUGCCGAACUAGAGACUGUCAGAGGCAGGUGGAAUUCCCGGUGUAGUGGUGAAAUACGUAGAUAUCGGGAGGAACACCAGUGGCGAAAGCGGCCUGCUGGGGCAGUUCUGACGCUAAGGGACUAAAGCGUGGGGAGCGAACCGGAUUAGAUACCCGGGUAGUCCACGCCCUAAACGAUGAAUGCUAGGUCUUCGGGGUGUUAAUUCCCUGUGGGCCGAAGGUAACCCAUUAAGCAUUUCGCCUGGGGACUACGGCCGCAAGGCUAAAACUCAAAGGAAUUGACGGGUCCCCGCACAAGCAGCGGAGCGUGUG